GCCAGCCCGCUCAGAACUUAAGGAAUUGACGGGGCCCGCACAAGCGGUGGAGCAUGUGGUUUAAUUCGAUGAUACGCGAGGAACCUUACCUGGGCUCAAAUGUAUGUUGACGUAUUCUGAAAGGGAUACUUCUUCGGACAAUAUACAAGGUGCUGCAUGGUUGUCGUCAGCUCGUGCCGUGAGGUGUCGGGUUAAGUCCCAUACGAGCGCAACCCCUAUCAUUAGUUGCCAUCAGGUCAAGCUGGGGACUCUAAUGAAACUGCCUACGCAAGUAGUGAGGAAGGUGGGGAUGACGUCAAAUCAGCACGGCCCUUACGUCCAGGGCUACACACGUGCUACAAUGGCCGGUACAAAGGGCAGCUACCUGGUGACAGGAUGCUAAUCUCAAAAGCCGGUCUCAGUUCGGAUCGGAGUCUGCAACCCGACUCCGUGAAGCUGGAAUCGCUGGUAAUCGCGCAUCAGCCAUGGCGCGGUGAAUACGUUCCCGGGCCUU
rnacentral:rRNA from 1 species